UACGGGGGGAGCAAGCGUUGUUCGGAUUUACUGGGCGUAAAGGGCGCGUAGGCGGCCGCCUAAGUCAGACGUGAAAUCCCCAGGCUUAACUUGGGAACUGCGUCUGAUACUGGGUGGCUUGAGUUCGGGAGAGGAAUGUGGAAUUCCAGGUGUAGCGGUGAAAUGCGUAGAUAUCAGGAGGAACACCAAUAGCGAAGGCAGCUCGCUGGGACGGUACUGACGCUGGAGGCGACGAAAGCGUGGGGAGCAAACGGG
rnacentral:rRNA from 1 species